rnacentral:rRNA from 1 species
AUUGAACGCUGGCGGCAUGCCUUACACAUGCAAGUCGAACGGCAGCACGGGGCAACCUGGUGGCGAGUGGCGAACGGGUGAGUAAUGCAUCGGAACGUGCCAUUGAGUGGGGGAUAACGUAGCGAAAGUUGCGCUAAUACCGCAUAUUCUGUGAGCAGGAAAGCAGGGGACCGCAAGGCCUUGCGCUCUUUGAGCGGCCGAUGUCAGAUUAGCUAGUUGGUGAGGUAACGGCUUACCAAGGCGACGAUCUGUAGCGGGUCUGAGAGGAUGAUCCGCCACACUGGAACUGAGACACGGCCCAGACUCCUACGGGAGGCAGCAGUGGGGAAUUUUGGACAAUGGGCGCAAGCCUGAUCCAGCCAUGCCGCGUGAGUGAAGAAGGCCUC